AACGAACGCUGGCGGCAGGCCUAACACAUGCAAGUCGAGCGAAGCCUUCGGGCUUAGCGGCGGACGGGUGAGUAACGCGUGGGAACGUGCCCUUUGCUACGGAAUAGCCCCGGGAAACUGGGAGUAAUACCGUAUGUGCCCUUCGGGGGAAAGAUUUAUCGCCAUUGGAUGAACCCGCGUCGGAUUAGCUAGUUGGGGAGGUAAAGGCUCACCAAGGCGACGAUCCGUAGAUGGUCUGAGAGGAUGAUCAGCCACACUGGGACUGAGACACGGCCCAGACUCCUACGGGAGGCAGCAGUGGGGAAUAUUGGACAAUGGGCGCAAGCCUGAUCCAGCAAUGCCGCGUGAGUGAUGAAGGCCUUCGGGUUGUAAAGCUCUUUCGCCCGCGACGAUGAUGACGGUAGCGGGAGAAGAAGCCCCGGCUAACUCCGUGCCAGCAGCCGCCGUAACAC
rnacentral:rRNA from 1 species